CCUACGGACUCUGCAGUGGGGAAUAUUGGACAAUGGGCGAAAGCCUGAUCCAGCCAUGCCGCGUGUGUGAAGAAGGCCUUCGGGUUGUAAAGCACUUUCAGUGGGGAAGAAAGCCUUGGGGCUAAUACCCUCGAGGAAGGACAUCACCCACAGAAGAAGCACCGGCUAACUCCGUGCCAGCAGCCGCGGUAAUACGGAGGGUGCGAGCGUUAAUCGGAAUUACUGGGCGUAAAGCGCGCGUAGGCGGUCUGAUAAGCCGGUUGUGAAAGCCCCGGGCUCAACCUGGGAACGGCAUCCGGAACUGUCAGGCUAGAGUGCAGGAGAGGAAGGUAGAAUUCCCGGUGUAGCGGUGAAAUGCGUAGAGAUCGGGAGGAAUACCAGUGGCGAAGGCGGCCUUCUGGACUGACACUGACGCUGAGGUGCGAAAGCGUGGGUAGCAAACAGGAUUAGAUACCCCUGUAGUC
rnacentral:rRNA from 1 species